UACGGGGGGGGUAAGCGUUGUUCGGAAUUACUGGGCGUAAAGGGCUCGUAGGCGGCCAACUAAGUCGGACGUGAAAUCCCUCAGCUUAACUGGGGAACUGCGUCCGAUACUGGAUGGCUUGGAUUUGGGAGAGAGAUGCGGAAUUCCAGGUGUAGCGGUGAAAUGCGCAGAUAUCAGGAGGAACACCGGUGGCGAAGGCGGUUCUCUGGGCAUUACCUGACGCUGAGGAGCGAAAGUGUGGGGAGCGAACAGG
rnacentral:rRNA from 1 species